UCCCCCGGUCCCCUCGCCGCCGCCGCUCUCCUCCUCGGCUCCCUCGCGGCCACCUCAAUCCCUCUCCUGCUCCCCGCUGCGCCGCCGCCGCCUCCCUCCCUCUCCUGCUCCUCGCCGCCGCCCUCUCCCUACCUCGACCGCCACCCGGCCGACUCCCCAACCGUGCUCCUCGUCCCAUCCGCCGCCGCCGCCUGCGCUGCGGGGACCGCUGCCUCGGCCCUUGCCUCGCCGCCCUCUUCAUCCUCGCGCUCGCGGGGCAUCCUCCAUGCACGCCUCUGCCUCGCCUCGCGCGCCUCUGCCUCCGCCUCGCCUCGCGCAUGUCUCCCUCGCACGCCUCCGCCUCGCGCACGUCUCCGUCACGGCGCGCCCCGCCGUCACCGGCACCAUCUCCGCCGCGCUCAAGGUCUACGUCCGCAACCCGGACCUCUUCGUGCUCGACUGCUCCCGCCUCGACGUCAACAUCGGCUAUGGCAGAUCUCCAAGGACAACCUGCUCCCGCACCCGCUGCCGCGCCCCAGCCGCGAGGAGGAGAACAAGCCCUUCCUGCUUGUCCAGGCCUCCUCGAUUCGAGCCGCAUUGUGUAGGGUUGCUUCGAUUGGGCGCGGAUUUGGGAUUUCCUUCUGGCUCUCUUACCACCAGUGCCGAAUUUGCUGCAGGUGAGCAUGUUAGGGUGCGGCGGCUUUGUGGUGGGGUUCCGGUUCAGCCACGCGGUGGCGGACUGGCUGGGCGCCGCCGAGUUCAUGGGCACGGUGGGGGAGCUGGCGUGUGGGACGGACAGGAUCUGGCCGCCCCCAACCUUGGGCCGCGACGCCAUUCCGGACCUGGCCGGUGAGCACAGCGGAUUUCAACGAAGGGAAGGAAGCAACCGGCGAUUCGCUCCGAGCCGAUCUGAUUUGCCAUGAAGCCUUCAAGAAGGAAUUCACCUUCGGGGUCCGGGUGCAGUUGAGAGGCUCCAGGAAUCUGCCGCCAUGAUCGCCAACUACCCCGCCAGGGGGGCCGUAUGUGAACCCUCUCCGUUCCUUUCAAUUUCCCUCUUCCAGCCCAAACCCUAUGCAGAAAGGGCCUUCUGCUCUUCUUCGUGUUCACAUCGCUAGCCCACAGAUUAGUUGUUGAUCAUACUGCUAUCUGUAACUUCCAUCGAGUGCUGCUCCUUUUUUCCAGUUCCGCCCACCCUCCUCUUCCAGAUAUCUAUCAUGUAAUCACAUAUAUGGAUGUCGACAGGAGCAAACAGCAUAACAGAUUUUAGGAUUCAGUCAUUGUUGCAAGGUUUUCCAGGAGUAAUUUACCAGAAUUGGAGAAGAGGAACAGGCUUUCGGGCUGCCCGCGGAGCUGGUGGCGGUGCUGCUGUCGGACCUGUUCGUGCAGUUUGACGUGGCGUGCAAGAUUACCUUCAUGCGCUGUCGUCCUGCCUCGGCUGCGCUGUCCGUUGUUCCUCGUGUUCGUUGAGCGGGCGCUUCGCUAGCGAUGAAUAUCUGAGAGGGUGGAUGAUGAGCAGUGAAGCUCAUGUUGUGGCCGGCUUCUGUGUGCCCUUCCGUCUCUGGCAAGAAGAGUCUGAUGCAUGGGACCUGAAGACUGCAUUGACUUCGGCUUGCAAAGUUUGUACCAUGGUGGUUUGCUUUUUGUUUCAGUUAGUAUUCAAAGCUAUCAGCUAGGUUGUUUGGUGGCUAUAUUUGCAUACUUGCUGUUGCAUGUAUGGUGCUUGGAUGUUCUGUAAUAUAGAUGUGCAAAUGCCGGACAGACACCUAGGAUAGUUUGGUGCUCGGAUGUAACUAUGGUGAUUGGAUGUAAUGUGAUGUUGAUUGAGAUGCCGGAUAGACACCUUAUGGAUAGGAUAUCAUGCUCUUGUUUUGUAAUAUUUUUUAUUUAAAUGCCGAACAGACACUUGAUGGCAAGGAUAACUUUGUGCUUAGAUGUGUUGUAAUAUUUAUAAUUCAAAUGCUAGAUAGACACCUAUGUUAAUAUGCUGAUGAUGUGCUUGCUAC